GUUCAAUCUUGAAUAUCAAGAGUCAGCAUCUACUACACUGGAGUUGGUACAAGGAUCAACCCAGAUGAGGGAAGCAAGUGCAUGGCCGAAGUGGGUACAAGCCGCAAUACGGGAGUUGUCCAAAGAAAGGUGACAAGCAUCAGCUCCCAAGUCACCACCUUCCUCCAACGGCUCACCGAGUUUGAGUGGAAGACAUCAAACUAGUCCAGGACGGACCACCCCAGCAGAUGUGGAUCAGCAAGCAUGAGUAUCAUGGGUCCGGACCCUUCAUCGUCCUUAACAAAUGCUUCUCAACAGACUGCUUCUCCUUCCCCUCCCCAACCAAAUGCCCAACAACUUCACCUCUGUGGUAAACAACCAUACCACAUUUUUCAAACAUACUCAGGAUUUCAAAGAAAAAAACAACUGCCGAGAUAAAGGAUGAACUGAU